rnacentral:lncRNA from 1 species
AUGUAUGAAGUAAAUAAAGAAAAGUAUAUUGACAUUUUCUACAUGAUUGUUUUCCAGGUUGGCUGGAUAGAAUACAACUCUAAUGGAGCCAGUUUUGCUGGAUUUAGACCCCUUCCCAGAGUCUUCCACAUUCAGUGGCAAGACAAAAGUCAGGACAACUGGCCACAGCUUGGGAUGCAGUGGAUGACUUUGGCAUCUUCAAUGUCUAACCAAGUCCUAAGUACUCCACAAGACCUGCUUCAGCUGCAUUCAUGGCCACUAGAACAAAUUGUUCUCCUCUACCUGUUCCUCUAGGAGAAGACUUCAUAUGCUUGAAUUGGAGAAUCCCCCUGAUUCUCCAAUAAAUUUGAGGCCUGUCUGUU